UUUGUCCACCGUGCUGCAUCUCUGUGGCUAAUUGAUCAUAAAGUCAUUAUAAACAAAAGCAGGCUGGGUGUGGUGGUUCAUGCCUGUAAUCCCAAUAAUUUGGGAGGCCAAGGUGGGGGAUCACCUGAGGUUGGGAGUUUGAGACCAGCCUGACCAACAUGGAGAAACCCCGUCUCUACUAAAAAUAUAAAAAAUUAGUCGGGCAUGGUGGUGCAUGCCUGUAAUCCCAGCUACUUGGAGGGCUAAGGCAAGAGAAUCACUUGAACCCAGGAGGCAGAGGCUGCAAUGAGCUGAGAUCAUGCCAUUGCACUCCAGCCUGGGCAACAAGAGCGAAACUCUUUCUUUGUUUGUCUCAAAAACAAACAAACAAACAAACAAAAAACACAAGAGCAACGAAACCAAACAACAACAGCAAACAAAAGCCUAAACUCUCUAGUCUGGCCAAAUGUUAUUGCCCCGAUGGUUUGACUUUAUUUCACUUUUUUUCUUCUGGGUACUACAUUUUGUUUAUAAUCACUAAAUUCAGUGGCUAUUUUGCCUUAGACCUUAAUUUUUUUCAGAAAUCACUUUAAACAACCCAAAUUAAUUGUUUGUAGUUCAAAUUCUUUUAUUGUCUAAAUUUAAGUAUUUUCCUGCUUCUUUGCUUCAUAACAUAGCUCUCAUCUGGUAAUAAUUAGAUUAUAGUGUCAACGGAUAUUUUUCUAAAGGAAAAACCUGUAGGUCUUUUGCUUUCUACUUCAAUGAUUGCCAUAUUCAUACUCCUAUGGUCAUCUCUCUUCCUUAAAAGAGAAUAAAAAUAAAAAGUGCCUAUAUUAUUGUUGACCUACUGAAAGUGUAUUAGAAAUGUUCCCUUAAAAUCAGCUAUAGAUUUUUUGCUGAGUUAGGAAAGUUUUAUCCACUUCAAAAAGAUUCAAGCUCAGGCUUCAGUAGGAGUAAUAUUUUUGAUCUAUAAUAGCAUCUUGUGUGGCUCUUUUUCUGAAGUAUCCUAAUGUCAGAACAGAUACUCAAUCCAUAUCAAUAAGAAUCCGAUUAAAGACUGGCAGUACCUGGAAUUGUACUGGGCUACUAAAGGGUGAAAAAUAUAGCUUUCCUUAAGACUGUAAUAAAAGCUAUUGUCCCUAGUUUUUACCAGAAAGUGUAGUGAUUGAGGCAUUUAUCCAAUUUAGAGAAUAACACAUUUGCAGCAGGUCGAUGUUAUUGCUUAUCUGGCCGAGGAAGGUGAAUGCCAUAGAAAUAAGCUUUAAUUACUAUGAAGAAUAAAUAAAUCCCCAACCAAUAUUUCUAUAGUGGGGACAAUUGUCAGAAACAGAACAGUAAACAAAGCAGACAGAAGGAUUCAAUGGAACUGUUUCAAACAGUGAAUGCUGUAGAUAGCUAGAUGUGAGAAUAAGGAAGAUUGGACUCCACCUUUUUUUUUCUGCUUAGAAAGCAUGCAGAACCUUUUUUUUUUCCUGUGAAAAGUUUGCUAGAGAAACAGGCAAAGCAGCAGUGAUGUAAAGGAUGAGUCAAAGUUAGCCAAGUAAAGGUAGGAAGGGACUGGGUGUGGCAAAGCAAGUGAAGAGGGGCUAAUUUCAGCAAAGACCAGAGUCUAGAGAGAGGGAUAACAUGGGGAGCCUGGCUAACUAAAGUUAUAAAAUAUGAAAUUGACAUUUGAUAGGUCUAAAACAUUAAAUAUUGGCAGUUUUAUAUAGUUCAGCCUAAUAGGUUAUAAUUGUAUAGCAGAAAUAAUGAGAGUAAGUGGCAAGAAUUGAGACAAAAGAAAUUAGAAAGCACCAAAUACAGAGCCAUGUAAACCAUGUGGAAUGGAUGAAUAACAUAUAUAUCUUUCUGAACAACUUAAAGCCAGUGUCAAGUAGGAACACUCUAACAAUGCAGAAAAACAGCAUCCAAUAUUUUGCCACAGGGAAUGCAAUUUGUUAAAUCUUAUCAACAUUUAACUCAUCUUUGUGUUAUUCCACUGUGUCCACUCUGCACAAUAUAUGCAUAUGUUUCUAUAUUAGACAUGAGGUGAGUGUGUCUGUCUGUAUACAUCUGCAUCUGUAUGUAUUAGGAACGAAACAGAGAAUGUAGCAUGAUGAGUAUUUAUUUUUAUUUUAUACAUUUUCACAGUAAAGCAGAGAUGGUAGGUGGUAAUUUAGUCCUCUUGACCCGUAAUCUAUCUAGAUUUCCCACAUAGACCAUGGGUCACCUUCCUAUGGCAAGCCCUGCCACUUAUACGUUAUACUAAUGUCAUUCUAUUGGCAUUACUCAGUAAUAUUGCUCCAACUAUAAAUGGAGUGUGUGCGUGUGUGUGUGUGUGUAUUCACCUCAUUACAGGAAUACUGAAAUAAAUGUUGUACUGUUAGAUUUUCUUCUUCUAGUCCUCAUUUCCUUUAGCCAGUGAUAAUUUCGAGAGAAGAAGCAAGGUUUAAAAGAUGAGAAAAAUUGUUCCUUCAUUAAUGAAGGGAUCUCCAGAUAGCGAAAAUCAGUGCUACAAUUCGAGGGCAGUCCUAGAGGCUACAAUCCAAGACUCUGAAAUAUCAACAAGAGAGUUGAAAAGUUAUCAGUGAAACAAUGUUCAUAAACAUUGUUAACUCUAUGCAUUUAAAUUCAGCAAAAAUACAGUUGGAAGCUCUCUCUCUUUGAUUUGUGUUGUUUAUUAGCAUUUCUGGUUCUGAUUGAGAAAUAACUUCAUCUUAUUUAUAUUACUCUCAUCAAAGUUGAUUUUUGGCAAUUAUCUGAGUAGAGAAGAAUUUAAAAUGUAUUAUUUAAAAAUUUUACAUAAUGGUUAUGCAUCAUUUCAGUAUGUAGCUGCAUCUUGUGACACCUGUCAACCCCAUAUGACAACCAGCAUGAAAAACUAGAAGAAAUAAAAAUUGAAAUCUAGAAGAAAUAAAUGCAGAAAUCAAUGACUUCUGGAGGCUGCAGUGAACUGUGUAAUCCUCCACCCUUGACCAUUUCACGUUUUAUGCAGAAGGAAAACACUUGGGGAAUACAUUGAGGAGUGUAUACUCAAAGUUAAUUGUAAGCAAUGAAAUAAAAGAUAUAAGCAUGUGAGAAAUAACAUCACCUAUUAUUUUCCAGGGACUUUGGGAGUUGUGUAUACCAGCAUCCCAAAAGGGGAAACCCCCCUCCACCUUUUUUUUUCCUAGGGAUUUUGUAGGUUUAUGUAGCUCAUGAAUGUGUCUGUUUCUAGUAAAUCCACUAUAACAAAAUAUCAGAGAAGAAGGAUUAUAUAGCCCAGGCUGGCACUGGAUAAAACUGAAAAUAAGAGAAGCCUACAUUUUGCCUCCCUCUUUUCUUUAUGCUAGGCUCUUGAUCUCUUCUCCUGCUACAAUGCCAUUCUGGGGUUUUAUUCUAGCAUAGAGGAGACAAGGGAGUCUUCCUGAAGCACUGAGUGAAAAUGAAGGAAUCAUCUCCCUGAAAGAAACAUGAGGUGCAAUCCCCUCAAGGGUGUUUGUUUUAGUAUAAUAGAUUGCUAAAGAUAGAAAAGUCUUCAUAACUGCAAAGACCAAAGCAGAGUGGUAUAGUUUGGAGUUCAGAUUUAACUGGAUUUCAUUUUUAGCUUUAUCGUUUUCAAAUUGUGUGUUAUUUGUUAAAUUUCUGUGUCCCCUUUGAACCUCAACUUCCUCAUCUGCAAAAAUGGGAUGAUCUUUCUUUCAGGGUUAAUAUGAGGAUUAAAUGAGAUCAGUUGUAAAAAUUUCCGGUAUGGUGCCCAACACAGUGGGAACUCAGAAACGUGACUUUGCAUACCUUCAUUAAAAGGUGAGGUAACAUGUGGCAGAAUUAAUUAUUAAACAUAGAACAGAACCCCACCUUGUAUCCAUUUAACUUUGACAAUGUGAUCCAGUGAUUUCCAAAUACGAGCCCUUUUUUUUUUCAGCACAGUACCUAGAAAACAGCAGACUUUUCAAAAGUGCUUAAAGACCGAAUGACUGAGUCUGAGUGACUGGCCUUGACAUCCUUGGAGCACGACUCAGGAUUAGACAGGUGCAGCUGAUAAUUGUGUGUGACCAUUUCUCAGGUCUCACCAUCCACAGGACAGACACAUUACCUUAUAUUUCCAUGCAGACAACCUGUAAAAAGCCAGUCAACCUUUUUCUUGUGCAAAUAUUAUCCCACAGUUAGAUUUCUAAAAACAAUUGCCUGGAAGUCAAUUUUAAAAGUAAAUACUCAACUUUACUCUUGAGUAAAUAAAGAAGCAACUUCAGGGUUUGGAGAAAUACUCCAAUAAUAUUUCAAGAUAAAACUGUUAAGGUAAGAACUCUGAAAUGAGUUUUAUGAGAUUUAUGCAACAAUUUGGUGUUUAUCAUAAACUGCCAGGAUGCUGAUCUUUAUUUUUAAAAUUUUUUCACCCUCAUAUUUUUCUGUAAUAGCAUUCUAGGUACUAAUUUACCAUCCUCACAUUUCCCUAACUCCCACUGGUUUUCUGAAAAUUGAGGAAAAUUGAUGGCUAUAUUUUUUGACAUGUAGGACUAUACUCAGAUUUUCAUUUACAGCUCUGGCUCAUGGCUGUAUUUCUGAAUCACAUUUCCUUAAGUAGGCACUCUCUUUUGUGACCUCUCCUUCACUUCAUAUUCAGGAGCAAUCAAGACUGACACCUUAAUAAUAAUAAGAAACAGCCAGUGGAAUGUGUGGAAGAGAUAUAAAGAAAGGUAAAAACUCUCUUGGGCACUAUUAUUUCACUCAAAUAUAAUUUAGCUAGUUUUGGUAGAUUGUUGAAGCAACUGUUGAUCUUAAAAAAUGAUUAUUGAUGAAGUAUUAGUAAAUUAGCCAGAAAUAUGUAGAGUUGUGCUAAUGGUAAUGCUAUCAAAAACUUAUAGUCAAGUGCUUCCUGAUAUUGAACUCUUCCACUCUAAAUUUUGAUAUUUACAAAUGUGGUAAAUGUUAUUCCCUUGCUUGUGCCAAGAACCUACAAAUACUCUAGUAUACUCUUAACAUGAGAAGAAAUAGGACAAUUACUUCCUUUCUUACCAAUUCACCUUUUAUGUGAUAAAGAAAAAAAUAAUGAUAGAUUGCAAUGAACAUCUUAGAACCUAUUAAAAUGAAGUACAAAUGAGGAUAAAAAUAUGCACAAUAUCUAACUCUUGAGAAUUGGAUAGUUAGGGUUAAGAAAAGGAUGAUGAAAAACUGACUUUAAGACAUUAUUUAAAACUCUUUCUGUCUCAUACUGACUGGAAUGAUUGAUGAUGCUACCACCAUUGACAAUGAGAGUUUGAGAAGAGGUGAGUCACUUUUAAUGGUGUAGGUUCAGACUCAGAUCAUCUACAAAUGAACUUGUGUUGCUAUUUCCUUAUUUUAUACAUUAAAAAAAUCAAUUCCAGGAAUAUAAAUUAUUUGUACCAUUGAAUUUCAACUUACUUUCUGGUAGCAGAGACAUGAUAAAUGCUGCAUUACAUAGUUGUAUUGAUGGUCUGAAAUCCUUAAACGAUAGAGGAGAGCACAUACCAGCAGUUUCCGGCAAGUCUUUAAAAACAGACUUCUACAUGGUGAAACCCUGUCUCUACAAAAAAAAAAAAAAAAAAAGAAACGAAAAUUAACUGGUGUGGUGGUGCAUGCCUGUAAUCCCAGCUACUUGGGGGGCUAAGGCACAAGAAUCGCUUGAACCUGGGAGGCAGAGGUUGCAAUGAGCUGAGAUCAUGCCACUGCCCUCCGGCCUGGGUUGACAGAGUGAGAUCGUCUCAAAAACAAAAAUAAAAACAGCCUUCUAGAAAACAACCUGAGAUGCUUCUUCAAAAUGGUUGUUACUUCAGUGAAAACAAACAGCUACCUUAUGAAGCCAGUGACUUAUGAUAAUGACAUAACUUUGUUGCCAUCAUCAAUAACAACAACAGAAACAUGAAUAUAUUCUUUUGACAAUUUCCGUCUUGCUCUCUUAUGCAUUUCAGCCUCAUACCAACCCUAAGGGAAUGGGAAAUAUGUAUUGUUUUGCUUAAUCUUCAUCCCACUUUCCCACUGUCAUCAAUUCAGGAGACCAGACUAGUUUGAGAAAAUACACAGGAGAGCAAACACAAGUCUGUGUUGCCAUUUCCUGCAUGAGCAGACAGAGCUACAAAAAUCUAGGCUAUGUGCAUUCCUUAAGAAGCUGAAAAGCUCUUGGAUAGGAGCGACUAUAUUGCAUUCUGCUUUGGGUGUCCACUAACUGGCGAAAUUCCUACGAUAUUAAAUUGUUUGCUAAACAAACGAAUGAGUAAAAAUCAUUUAUAAACUACAUUACACAAACAAUUUAAGAGUAGCCUUUCCUUUCUUGCCUUGGUUCUUUGGACCCUCACAAAUCAGCAUCUUCAUCUUACUUUGUUGGAACACUGGAACACUGCCAUCUCUUCAUCCUCUAAGGCCUAGGAUCUUGCAAAAGUUAGAGUAGGAGGUCUACAUACCCUUGACAUGUUAAUGAAAAAUAAAUUCUGGGACCUCUGCUUAAUAUAAAGAAUUUUAUCUAAGGAUAUUAGAAUUUUAUCUUUAAUAUUCACAAGUGCAGUUGAUCUUCAUUAUUCAUGGAUUCUAUAUUUGCAAACUUGCCUAUUUGCUAAAAUUUAUUUGCAACCCCCACAUCAAUACCCUAGGCAAGCUUUUAAGAUCAUUCUCAAACACGCACGGAGAAGUGAAAAUUUGAUUCUCCCAAUACACAUAUUCACAGUUGAGAUAGAACAAGGUUAUGCACUGCCUUUUUGUUUCAGCAAGUAUCUUUUUCAUGAUCUGUUUAGUGCUGCUUUUUUUGCAUAUUUGUGCUUUUUGUUGAUAAUUCCACUGUCUAAAAUGGUCCCUUAGCAUAAUGCCAAAGUGCUGUCUGGUGUUCCUACAUACAAAAAGGCUGUGAUGUGCCUUACUGAGAAAAAACCAUGGGUUAAGUAAGCUUUGUUUAGGCACGAGUUAAGAGUGCUCUUGGCCCUAAGUUUAAUAUGAAUCACAAACGUAUAUUAAAUAAAGUGUCUUUAACCUGGAGAGGAUGCGGAGAAAUAGGAACACUUUUACACUGUUGGUGGGACUGUAAACUAGUUCAACCAUUGUGGAAGUCAGUGUGGCGAUUCCUC
rnacentral:lncRNA from 1 species